rnacentral:rRNA from 1 species
GAUGAACGCUGGCGGCGUGCCUAAUACAUGCAAGUCGAGCGAACAGACGAGGAGCUUUCUCCUCUGACGUUAGCGGCGGACGGGUGAGUAACACGUGGAUAACCUACCUAUAAAACUGGGAUAACUUCGGGAAACCGGGGCUAAUACCGGAUAAUAUAUUGAACCGCAUGGUUCAAUAGUGAAAAACGGUUUUGCUGUCACUUAUAGAUGGAUCCGCGCCGCAUUAGCUAGUUGGUAAGGUAACGGCUUACCAAGGCAACGAUGCGUAGCCGACCUGAGAGGGUGAUCGGCCACACUGGAACUGAGACACGGUCCAGACUCCUACGGGAGGCAGCAGUAGGGAAUCUUCCGCAAUGGGCGAAAGCCUGACGGAGCAACGCCGCGUGAGUGAUGAAGGUCUUCGGAUCGUAAAACUCUGUUAUUAGGGAAGAACAAAUGUGUAAGUAACUAUGCACGUCUUGACGGUACCUAAUCAGAAAGCCACGGCUAACUACGUG